GUGUCUCCUCCUGGCCCUUAGUCCUUCCCCAUCAUAGAGAAUCUUCUCCAGCUUGGAGAUCAUCCUUACCUUACAUUAAUGGAGAUGAGGAAGAAAUAUGGAGAUGUCUUUCUCCUCAAACUUGGCAUGGUGCCUGUCUUGGUGGUAAAUGGAAUGGAAAUGGUGAAACAAGUACUACAUAAGGAUGGGGAGCAUUUUGCAGGCAGACCUAACAUGCACACAUUUUCUUUCCUGGCAGAAGGAAAGAGUCUUUCAUUUUCAGUGAAUUAUGGAGAGAGUUGGAAACUUCAUAAAAAAAUUGCCUCUAAAGCCUUAUGAACUUUUUCUAAUGCAGAAGCGAAAUCCUCCACUUGCUCUUGCUCACUUGAGGAGCAUGUCACUGAAGAAAUUUCUGAACUGGUGACAGUCUUUGUAGAGUUGACUUCCAAGAAUGGCAGCUUUGACCCCAGAAAUGCGAUCACCUGUGUGGUGGCCAACAUUGUCUGUGCCCUUUGCUUUGGCAAGAGAUAGGACCACAGUGAUGAGGAAUUUCUUAGGAUAGUUAAAACAAAUGACGACUUACUCAAGGCCUCCAGUGCAGCUAACCCUGCCGAUUUCAUACCAUGUCUCCACUACCUUCCACUGAAGAUUAUAAAUGCUCCUCUGGAGUUUUACCAGGCCCUGAAUGGGUUUAUUGCACUACACGUACAAGAUCAUCUUGCUACCUAUGGAUCAUAUCCGAGACAUUACUGAUGCUCUGAUUAAUGUAUGCCACAACAAAUAUGCUGCUACCAAAACAGACACCUUGAAUGACAGUGAAAUCAUAAGCACCGUGAGCGACCUCUUUGGAGCUGGGUUUGAAACAGUAUCAACAUGUCUAUGUUGGAGCUUUCUUUAUUUGAUACACUAUCCAGAAAUUCAAGCCAGAAUUCAAGAAGAAAUUGGAUGGAAACAUUGGGCUGAGACCACCCAGAUUUGAAGACAGGAAAAUUUUACCAUACACAGAAGCUUUCGUAAGUGAAGUAUUCAGACAUGCCUCUUUUCUUCCAUUUACUAUUCCACAUUGUACUACAGCAGACACCACUCUGAAUGGCUAUUUCAUUCCCAGGAAAACUUGCACCUUUAUCAACAUGUAUCAAGUAAAUCAUGAUGAAACUAUUUGGGAUAAUCAUAGUUUAUUUAGACCUGACAGAUUUCUAAACGAAAACAGAGAACUGAAUAAAAGUCUUGUUGAGAAAGUUUUGAUAUUUGGAAUGGGCAUCCGGAAGUGUCUGGGAGAAGAUGUUGCACGCAAUGAGAUAUUCAUUUUCAUCACUACCGUUCUGCAGCAGUUCAAGCUGAAAAAAUGACCAAGAGCCAAGCUAGACCUGACUCCUACAUACGGGUUAGUCAUGAGGCCAAAACUAUACCAACUCCAAGCAGAACUCCACCCCUCAGGCAGUUCAUCUGCUUAG
rnacentral:lncRNA from 1 species